rnacentral:rRNA from 1 species
CAUUGGAACCACCUGAUCCCAUCCCGAACUCAGCAGUGAAACGAUGCAUCGCCGAUGGUAGUGUGGGGCUUCCCCAUGUGAGAGUAGGUCAUCGUCAAGAUU